rnacentral:rRNA from 1 species
AGCGAACGCUGGCGGAAUGCUUAACACAUGCAAGUCGCACGGUCAGCAAUGGCAGUGGCGGACGGGUGAGUAACGCGUAGGAAUAUGUCCAGAGGUGGGGGACAACCCCGGGAAACUGGGGCUAAUACCGCAUAUGAGCUGAGGCUCAAAGCAGUGAUGCGCCUUUGGAGUAGCCUGCGUCCGAUUAGCUUGUUGGUGGGGUAAAGGCUUACCAAGGCGACGAUCGGUAGCUGGUCUGAGAGGACGACCAGCCACACUGGGACUGAGACACGGCCCAGACUCCUACGGGAGGCAGCAGUGGGGAAUAUUGGACAAUGGCGCAAGCCUGAUCCAGCAAUUCCGCGUGGGUGAAGAAGGUCUUCGGAUUGUAAAGCCCUUUUCGACGGGGGACGAUGAUGACGGUACCCGUAGAAGAAGCCCCGGCUAACUUCGUGCCAGCCGCCGCGGUAAC